CCUACGGGAGGCAGCAGUGGGGAAUAUUGCACAAUGGGCGAAAGCCUGAUGCAGCAACGCCGCGUGAGCGAUGAAGGCCUUCGGGUCGUUAAGCUCUGUCCUCAAGGAAGAUAAUGCCGGUACUUGAGGAGGAAGCCCCGGCUAACUACGUGCCAGCAGCCGCGGUAAUACGGAGGGGGCUAGCGUUAUCCGGAUUUACUGGGCGUAAAGGGUGCGUAGGUGGUUUCUUAAGUCAGAGGUGAAAGGCUACGGCUCAACCGUAGUGAGCCUUUGAAACUGGGAAACUUGAGUGCAGGAGAGGAGAGUGGAAUGCCUAGUGUAGCGGUGAAAUGCGUAGAUAUUAGGAAGAACACCAGUUGCGAAGGCGGCUCUCCGGACUGUAACUGACACUGAGGCACGAAAGCGUGGGGAGCGAACAGGAUUAGAUACCCCAGUAGUC
rnacentral:rRNA from 1 species